AGGAGCCUGUCGACUCACAAUCCCCCCUUGCUAUCUGCAAGUGAAGAAAGCACACUUGGAAAUCAUCGUCGUUCCCUGAUUACAGUUUGCUUAUCAAGGGAGGUGGAACACUUCCUCAAGCCUAUCUCAGGAGAUGGAAGUAACACACACACAUCUGUAAAGGCGUGUGUGUGUGUGGCUGUGUGUGCGUCUGUGUAAGUUGACGUAAAUCUGAUUUGAAAGCCAGGAAGAUUUUGUAGGUUGAAUUAGGAUGCAUCAUGCCUAUUUCCAAUAUGGUUGGAGUUACGUCACCACGGUCGCAGCCAAUGAAAACCCGGCUACAGGUGACGCAACACACCCGAGAAGGUCAACGCGCCUCGAGCAUUUCCGACUCCUGUCCGCCAGCCAGUGAAAAGUCAAGCAUCCUCCGGGUCCUGCAGGAGCAUCCGUAAGCGCCCGCACGACCACGAUAUAAAGAGAAGGACUCACCACCAAGAUUUUUACGGGCUGCUCUGUGAGCAAGAGCCCGUGCUGACACAAGGUCAGCUUAAUCAAACAACAAACAACAACCACCAAGAUUCAGUCCUCCAGCAAUCAUCGCUGUGACCAUGCCCUGGCAGAUCUGGGCGAAACGUCAGAGAGAGAGAGAGAGAGAGAGAGAGAGAGAGAGAGAGAGAGAGAGAGAGGGAGAAACUUGUAGUAGUA